UACGUAGGGGGCAAGCGUUGUCCGGAAUCAUUGGGCGUAAAGAGCGCGUAGGCGGCCCAGUAAGUCCGCUCUGAAAGUCAGGGGCUCAACCCCUGAAUGCGGGUGGAUACUGCUGGGCUAGAGUCCGGAAGAGGCGAGUGGAAUUCCUGGUGUAGCGGUGAAAUGCGCAGAUAUCAGGAGGAACACUGAUGGCGAAGGCAGGUCUCUGGGCCACUACUGACGCUGAGAAGCGAAAGCAUGGGGAGCGAACAGG
rnacentral:rRNA from 1 species